GCGCGGGCGGGUGUGUGAGAGAGAAGGCGAAGGGAGCCGCGGGGUGGGAGAGGAGGGAGUCCCGGCGGGAGGGCGGGGGAGAGGCUGGCGGGAGGGGGGCUCCACGGAGCUCCAGCCAGGGCCGCGGUUCGCCUGCACGUCACGGCUACUCAAACCCAAGCACGUCCCGAAAGCGGUAUUUUCUGCGUCUGGGAGGUUUUUGCAUCCUCAGUUCCCACCGCUGGGGCUGGCGGCGACCAACUGUAAGAGAAACUCACUGGGAGGCGAGGCAGGGGGGUGCGGAGGAUGGGAAGGCGACUCUGAAGGGUGGGAAGUGAAUGCUGGACUUGAUCGUCUUUCUCUUUCUUUCAGCGCAGACCUGUCGCAGCCAGAGAGCUGUCAUUUCAGUACCGGGAUUCAGAAUUGAUCCAGUCCGCAGCGGAGGGGGCACAUCCCAGCUACCGAGCUGCUGAGUGUCUCUGGCUGGAACAAUAGUAUUUUUUUCUCUGCGAGGCUGCAAUUAACAUCUUAUUUGUUCUGGCUCCAUACAGGCUUUGUCAGGAUCGCGGUGCGGCGACCGACGUUGGGCUCUUGCAUUGCUUUGUGCUUGGCAAUGGAAUCAUGGUUUCGGGAUAGUCAUUUUGCCUCCUGGACAGUUGGCUGACGAAGUGUCUGAUAAACCAGCUUCAGAUACAUGCUACAAAAGGUCAUUCGCCUCCUGAUUAUGUUUCUACUUGUAAACGCAGUUGGUGGUUUGCAAAACAAGUGCUAAAAUAGUGCAGUGAUGUGGUGGGAGGAAACCAUAAUGGGUAAUUCAUAUAAAGUGCUGGAAUCUUCGUAAGGGUGAGUUUCUCGAGCGGCAGGUGAAGUUGAAUAAAGCAAUUUUCCAUCAUUUGUUCCCCUCACUCUUGCAUUUUUUUCCUCCGCUUG
rnacentral:lncRNA from 1 species